UACUCACUGCUUAUGAUAUGAAUAAGACUUUAAGUGCUAUAUUAUAAGUCCCGAAUAAUCCUGCAGUACUUAAGUAAAUAUAAAUUAUAGGCACACGAAAACAGGGCGAUUCUAUACUGGUGACUCUGCCAUUUCCAUUCGACACAUAUUAUAAUAUCUAUAUUUAUCACUUAUUAUUUUAUAGUUCGUACAUAUUUUAUAAUCCACAAGAAGAAAUUUGAAAUUUAA